UGCUGCAGCUCUAGUGGUGGUCGUUGGAGGGGGUCUUCAUUUGAAGAGGUCAGCGGUGCUGCAGCUCUAGUGGUGGUCGUUGGAGGGGGUCUUUAUUUGAAGAGGUCAGCGGUGCUGCAGCUCUAGUGGUGGUCGUUGGAGGGGGUCUUUAUUUGAAGAGGUCAGCUGUGCUGCAGCUCUAGUGGUGGUCGUUGGAGGGGGUCUUUAUUUGAAGAGGUCAGCGGUGCUGCAGCUCUAGUGGUGGUCGUUGGAAGAGGUCAGCUGUGCUGCAGCUCUAGUGGUCGUUGGAGGUGGUCUUUAUUUGAAGAGGUCAGCUGUGCUGCAGCUCUAGUGGUGGUCGUUGGAGGGGGUCUUUAUUUGAAGAGGUCAGCGGUGCUGCAGCUCUAGUGGUGGUCGUUGGAGGGGGUCUUUAUUUGAAGAGGUCAGCUGUGCUGCAGCUCUAGUGGUGGUCGUUGGAGGGGGUCUUUAUUUGAAGAGGUCAGCUGUGCUGCAGCUCUAGUGGUGGUCGUUGGAGGGGGUCUUUAUUUGAAGAGGUCAGCUGUGCUGCAGCUCUAGUGGUGGUCGUUGGAGGGGGUCUUUAUUUGAAGAGGUCAGCUGUGCUGCAGCUCUAGUGGUGGUCGUUGGAGGGGGUCUUUAUUUGAAGAGGUCAGCUGUGCUGCAGCUCUAGUGGUGGUCGUUGGAGGGGGUCUUUAUUUGAAGAGGUCAGCUGUGCUGCAGCUCUAGUGGUGGUCGUUGGAGGGGGUCUUUAUUUGAAGAGGUCAGCGGUGCUGCAGCUCUAGUGGUGGUCGUUGGAGGGGGUCUUUAUUUGAAGAGGUCAGCUGUGCUGCAGCUCUAGUGGUCGUUGGAGGGGGUCUUUAUUUGAAGAGGUCAGCUGUGCUGCAGCUCUAGUGGUGGUCGUUGGAGGGGGUCUUUAUUUGAAGAGGUCAGCUGUGCUGCAGCUCUAGUGGUGGUCGUUG